GUACCAGCUCUAUCACUGGUUCUGGGACUUCUGGGAGAUUUCUCAGCAUCCUGAGAAACCCCCCAAACAACCCCAAGCUCCCCCUUGUCUCUGUUUCCCAGCAACAAUUUACUGCUGGAAGAAACUCAGAGGAUUCCUCCAGGUUCCCCUUGCAGGAUGGAAAACGCUUUCAGCUACUUUGGUGGCCAAUAUUCUUCGUGUCUAUAGUUCAUUCUCAGAUUAUGGGACCUCCCUUGUACUUAGAACCCUUAAGAGCAGGGGUGGUAAGGGACUGAAGUAGGGGUCAAAUGCAUCUGAUAAGCCCAGUUGGUAUCAUCACAUCUUCUUCUUCCUGUUCUUGUUCUUGUUGUUCUUCAUCUUUCUCCUUCUUUUUCUCCUUCUUCUCCUUCUCCAUCUUCAUCAUCAUCAUAGUUAUUUGAGGGAGGAUCUUGAGUAUCCAGGUAAACCCCAAUCUCACUGUGUUCUCAGGACUCAUCUUGAAUGCCUGCUGUCCUUGUCUCUGCCGCUCCUGCGCUCAGAUUGCAAGCAGACAUCACCACACCCAGCUCCUGGUUCUCAAUGUUGAUUUUCCCCUUAUGUUUCCCUGCAACCUCCUCUGUGGAUCCACACUGAAGUCUGGGAAGGCAAAUCCCACUGACAUAGCUGUCUCUCUGCAGUAGAGGCCACUCUCCCCAGGGCCCUGCAAGCACCUG
rnacentral:lncRNA from 1 species